AUUAGCUAGUUGGUGAGGUAACGGCUCACCAAGGCGACGAUCCUUAGCUGGUCUGAGAGGACGAUCAGCCACACUGGGACUGAGACACGGCCCAGACUCCUACGGGAGGCAGCAGUGGGGAAUAUUGGACAAUGGGCGCAACCCUGAUCCAGCCAUGCCGCGUGAGUGAUGAAGGCCUUCGGGUUGUAAACGGCUAACUUCGUGCCAGCAGCCGCGGUAAUACGAAGGGAGCUAGCGUUGUUCGGAAUUACUGGGCGUAAAGGGCGCGUAGGCGGCGCCAGAAGUCAGGCGUGAAAGCCCCGGGCUUAACCUAGGAAAUGCGCUUGAUACUCUGGUGCUUGCGUGUGGGAGAGGUUGGUGGAAUUCCCAGUGUAGAGGUGAAAUUCGUAGAUAUUGGGAAGAACACCGGUGGCGAAGGCGGCCAACUGGACCACAACUGACGCUGAGGCGCGA
rnacentral:rRNA from 1 species